rnacentral:rRNA from 1 species
GACGUAGGAUGCAAGCGUUGUCCGGAUUUAUUGGGCGUAAAGAGUUCGUAGGCGGUUCGUUAAGUCUGAUGUUAAAGACUGGGGCUCAACCCUGGGAGUGCAUUGGAUACUGGCGGACUGGAGUACAGUAGAGGCAAGCGGAAUUCCCAGUGUAGCGGUGAAAUGCGUAGAUAUUGGGAAGAACACCGGUGGCGCAAGCGGCUUGCUGGGCUGUAACUGACGCUGAGGCGCGAAAGCGUGGGGAGCAAACAGG